UGAGAUAUAGCUUAAAUUAAAGUAAUUUGUUUACACCAAAUUAAUGCCCGUUAAACCCGGACUAUCUCAA
rnacentral:tRNA from 1 species